GUGGGGAAUCUUUCGCAAUGGACGAAAGUCUGACGGAGCAACGCCGCGUGAGUGAAGAAGGUUUUCGGAUCGUAAAGCUCUUUCGUUAGGGACGAACGUGCUCUUUGUGAAUAAUGAGGAGUAAUGACGGUACCUAAAUAAGAAGCCACGGCUAACUACGUGCCAGCAGCCGCGGUAAUACGUAGGUGGCAAGCGUUGUCCGGAAUUAUUGGGCGUAAAGCGCGCGCAGGCGGGAUAUCAAGUCUGUCUUAAAAGUGCGAGGCUCAACCUCGUGAGGGGACAGAAACUGGUAUUCUUGAGUGUCGGGGAGGAAAGUGGAAUUCCAAGUGUAGCGGUGAAAUGCGUAGAGAUUUGGAAGAACACCAGUGGCGAAGGCGACUUUCUGGACGAUGUCUGACGCUGAGGCGCGAAAGCUAGGGGAGCGAACGGGAUUAGAAACCCGUGUAGUCC
rnacentral:rRNA from 1 species